CAUGAUUGUGUCCCACUUGUUGUUGAUUCUUCACAAAAAAUUACAGUUUUAUAUCUUUAUGUUUGAAGCCUGAAAUGUGGCAAAAGGUCAAAAAGUUCAAGGGGGCCGAAUACUUUCGCAAGGCACUAUAUAUAUAUAUAUAUAUAUAUCUCUGCCUUACUUUUUCUCAAUAGUUGGUUUGAGAUUGAAGUUUUGAAUCUUAAGCAACCUGCCUACAUGUUGUACAGUAGACCAACAUAGCUACUGUACUAGAUGAAAGCUGUGUGCUUGCAUAGCUCGGCAGGGCAUGGGUAAAGCCAGGCCUUGUGGUGCUCAUGUGAGCAGCCUAAAUUCUCACAAAAAAUGUUUGUGAUUCAUUUAUAUCAAGGACCUAGUUAUGGCCACUGUCUUCUUGUCUGAGACCAACAAGAUGAAGUCUCUGUAACACCUCCGGUAACCCCUCCCUUCUCUCCCUUUCCUCCCGUUCCUUCCUUCUCUCCUUCUCCCUUCCACUCCCUUCUCUCCCUUUCCUCCAUUUCCUCCCUGCUAUCCCUUUCCUCUAUUCUCUCCCUUUCAUCCAUUCCCUCCCUUCUCUCCUUUUCCCCUCUUCUCUCCCUUUUCUCCCUUCUCACCCUUCUCUCCAUGUCCUCCCUUCUCUCCCUUUCCUCCCUUCUCACCCUUCUUUCCCUUCUCUCCCUUUCCUCCCUUCUCUCCCAUUUCCUCCCUUCUCUCCCUAAUCUCCAUUUCCCCCCUUCUCUCCCUUUCCUCCCUGAUCUCCUUACUCUCCAUUUCCUCCCGGCUCUCCCUUCUCCCCUUUUCUCCCUUAUCUCCAUUCUCUCCCUUUCCGCCCUUCUCACCCUUCUCUCCCCUUCCUCCCUGCUCUCCCUUUCCUCCCUUUCCUUCCUUCCCUCCCUUCUCUCCUUUCCUCCCUUCUCUCCCUCAUCGUCCCAUUCCUCCCUUUUCUCCCUCAUCUCCCUUUCCUCCCUUCUCUCCCUUUUCUCCCUACUCUCCCUUUCCUACCUUCUCACCCUUCAUGUCCCAUUCCUCCCUUCUCUCCCAUUACUCCCUUCUCUCCCUCAUCUCUCUUCUCUCCCUUCUCUCUCUUUCCUCCCUUCUCUCCCUUCUCUUACUUCUCUCCCUUUCCUUCUCUUCUUACUGGGUUGGCCACCCUCUCGCCAUCUGGUCCUGCCUGUCUUCUUUGCUUGGCUAUCCUCCUCUCCUCUUCUGUUUUCUUGUUCCCCCUGUCCUCCUACACCUCCUCCUCCCGCUUGUCUCGCUCAUGGUCUCCUGUUUAUCUUGACCUCUAGCAGCGUUGUUUCCCUACCUAUUUCUCCUCUUCGAAAGAGCAACACUGUAGCAACAGGAGAGGACUGUGUUCAACACUGUAGCAACAGGAGAGGACCGUGUUCAACACUGUAGCAACAGGAGAGGACAGUGUUCAACACUGUAGCAACAGGAGAGGACAGUGUUCAACACUGUAGCAACAGGAGAGGACAGUGUUCAACACUGUAGCAACAGGAGAGGACAGUGUUCAACACUGUAGCAACAGGAGAGGAGAGUGUUCAACACUGUAGCAACAGGAGAGGACAGUGUUCAACACUGUAGCAACAGGAGAGGACAGUGUUCAACACUGUAGCAACAGGAGAGGACAGUGUUCAACACUGUAGCAACAGGAGAGGACAGCGUUCAACACGGCAGCAACAGGAGAGGACAGUGUUGAAGCAUUGGAACAACAGGAGAGGACAGUGUUGAGGCAUUGGAACAACAGGACAGGACAGUGUUGAAGCAUUGGAACAACAGGAGAGGACAGUGUUGAAGCAUUGGAACAACAGGAGAGGUCAGUGUUGAAGCAUUGGAACAACAGGAGAGGUCAGUGUUGAAGCAUUGGAACAACAGGAGAGGACAGUGUUGAAGCAUUGGAACAACAGGAGAGGACAGGGUUGAAGCAUUGGAACAACAGGAGAGGACAGGGUUGAGGCAUUGGAACAACAGGAGAGGACAGUGUUGAAGCAUUGGAACAACAGGAGAGGACAGUGUUGAGGCAUUGGAACAACAGGACAGGACAGUGUUGAAGCAUUGGAACAACAGGAGAGGACAGUGUUGAAGCAUUGGAACAACAGGAGAGGUCAGUGUUGAAGCAUUGGAACAACAGGAGAGGUCAGUGUUGAAGCAUUGGAACAAUAGGAGAGGACAGGUUUGAGGCAUUGGAACAACAGGAGAGGACAGGGUUGAAGCUUUGAAACAACAGGAGAGGACAGUGUUGAGGCAUUGGAACAACAGGAGAGGACAGUGUUGAAGCAUUGGAACGACAGGAGAGGUCAGUGUUGAAGCAUUGGAACAACAGGAGAGGACAGUGUUGAAGCAUUGGAACAACAGAAGAGGUCAGUGUUGAAGCAUUGGAACAACAGGAGAGGACAGGGUUGAGGCUUUGGAACAACAGGAGAGGACAGGGUUGAGGCAUUGGAACAACAGGAGAGGACAGUGUUGAAGCAUUGGAACAACAGGAGAGGACAGGGUUGAAGCAUUGGAACAACAGGAGAGGUCAGUGUUGAAGCAUUGGAACAACAGGAGAGGACAGUGUUGAAGCAUUGGAACAACAGGAGAGGACAGGGUUGAAGCAUUGGAACAACAGGAGAGGACAGUGUUGAAGCAUUGGAACAACAGGAGAGGUCAGUGUUGAAGCAUUGGAACAACAGGAGAGGUCAGGGUUGAAGCAUUGGAACAACAGGAGAGGACAGGGUUGAGGCAUUGGAACAACAGGAGAGGACAGGGUUGAAGCAUUGGAACAACAGGAGAGGACAGGGUUGAAGUAUUGGAACAACAGGAGAGGUCAGGGUUAAAGCUUUGGAACAACAGGAGAGGACAGGGUUGAAGCAUUGCUCUCUGUUCAUCUAGUGGUCUCCGUUUGUUUCUUAGGGAAGGUUCUUGUCUUCAAAUAGACAAGUGAAGAUUGCAUCGCUGUUUUCUCUCUAUCUCCUCAGGUGUAAGGGCUUUAGUUCUUUUUUAAAUGGACUAGUCGACCAAGUGGUGCAGUUUUCCCCCAUGUGGACAUCUGUAGUCCUGUGGCUACUUGCCUAGUCUGUACCACGACCACCAGCAAUGGAAAACAGACAGCUUUGUCGUGGAGAGUGUUCUCUUGUGUAAGGUUCUUCAGUCUAUAUCCACAGACAAAUUGAUAUUCUGCUCUGAUCCUAUUGAUUAUGCAUGUCUGGUCUGGGCAACUGCCCUCUCGGAGCAACCCUAAACCUGGAUGGUUAAUGGGCCUAUCACCCCCCCCCCCAAAAACAGUCCAAUCCAACCUCAUCGAUUUCCCACUCAUCAUAUUGUUUAACAUUGUCCGACCAGGGACAAAAGUCUCAAACUCUCAACUCUUUAAAUGGGAACUGUAAAUAAUAUCUUUGUCUCUCUCUGUGACUUCCCUUCUGCACACACCCCCAUCUCCACCCUCAUCCAAUCUGUUCCUUAUUGAUAAGUAACUACUCUGGCUCCAAAAUGUCUGCCACAUUUCACCGGCUCAAACCCUAUGGGACGGGGCAGAAUAAAACUGACGCAGCGCUAACUGAUGCUCCUGUUCUGCCUGGAGUGGAAAGGUAUAUUUAGCAUGUAGCCAUUAGCCAACCUCAUUGAUCUGAACCUGUGAGGGAGAAGGGGUGACCAACGACUCCCCCUCCUUCCCCUCUUUCUGUAUGUAUCAUUGGAUAGCCGGCAGCCACACUAAAUUCUGCCCGGCGACUGUAAUGACUUGAGAAUGAAAUGGAGGUCAGGUGCAGGGAGCCACAGCACAGAACAUCAAGUGGCUGAUCAAUAGUAGCGAUUGGAUUUGCCUGCUCGCAUUAGGCACCACAUCUAAUACGACUGGGCUCGAAGAUGCCCCGGCCAUAUCAUUUAAUUACGCUCCAAUGUGUUACAACCGGCAACGCAAAGGGAUUGAAGAUAAUAUUGAUAUACUAAGGUCCAGAUAACAUGAUCUACAAUUAAAAAAGGUCCGUCACGCAAUUGAUCACACAAAUUGAUUCGAAUCAAUACAAAAGCCCUCAAUAGGAAUGACACAGCACACAUGUCGUAGAAUGCUCUCAACUAAAAUAAAUCUGAUCUGUUUUCAUUUCGUUACACUUUUUUUCUCAAUCCCAGAAUAAUCCAAGUUGGGAUAGACUACAGCAGAGUUAUCCUUCCUCAUAAUUCAAACCAAUAUUCUCUAGUAUUGCCUGAGUGGCUAAAAUCACGUGGUGUAUUAAAAUACAAUAUGCUGCUUCUCCUCCUCCUGCACUAGGCUACAAAACACAAGCACUUUGAGCCCUGCAGCUGGCUAGCACUAAUACCAUUCACACUGUAAUCAGUUCAGUCUUUGAUUAUGCUCCCUAUCCUGUAGAGACACAGCAUCUUGCCCAAAACACA
rnacentral:lncRNA from 1 species